GUACAAGCCAGGAUUUGAAAUGUACAUCAGUGACACCCUAAGCAGAGCUACAACGGAACACGUGGCACCUGGAGGUGAGCAUGAGCAUCUUGCAGUUUGUUUGUUGCAGCAGGAACAGAAUUUCUUUGCCAAAGUCAAUCAAAUAGACUAUCUUAAUGUCACACAUCAGCGGCUACAUCAGCUCAUACAGCACACAGAAAGUGAUGCAACUUUGCAAGCACUGAAGUCUAUAGUUCUGAUGGGGUGGCCAGAUGAAAAGGAUGCAGCA